UUUUCUCAUUACAUCUGGAAAAACUUCAGCCAUUAUUUUUGCUUAUAUUGUGGUAUGUCAUAGGAAGAUGAUAAAAUAAAAAUUAAUUUGAUGGUUUUCUAGGAGGUUAUAGUGUAAAAUAACUAUCUCCGUUUUAGAAUUGAGUGCUAGACAGUUUCUGUGUAGAUGACCUCAUAAGCUUCCUUUUAUCAAACAGUGAUCACUUUUUUGGUUUGCCUGCUGAGAAGUAUGGCAUCAAGUAUAAUACCAAUAUGAGGUGUUUAAGAACUUAGUAUAUUUCUUAUGUACAUUUUACUAUAUACUAUAAUUAUACAUUAAAAAUGCACAUUGUAAAUAUAAAUAUGCAUAAUACAUUGUUAAUUGUUUGGAUACCAAAAGUAUGACUUGACAUUUGUUUUUUAAACCAUAUUCAAAAUAACUCUUUGUAUCAGAAUACGGAUUUAACGGAUUAAAUUGCAUAAUUGGUGAGCUACUGAUUAUUGUUAUUUGGAUGCUUCUUUAAGUUAGCAACUUUAUAUUGUGGUCCUUCAAUAUAGACUACUUAUUUCAUUUCAGAGAACUCAAUUUCCUGCAUCUACUGAGUCUCAAAACCCCAGCAGAAAAAAGUCCUCUUCCAACUCCUCCUCUCUGCAUGCGCCUCAGAGCCGGUACCAAGAACUGGAAGUAGCCCUGGACUCAAGCUCUGCAACAAUCAAUCAACUCAAUGAAAACGUAGAAUCAUUGAAACAACAGAAGAAACAAGUGGAACAUCAGCUGGAAGAAGAAAAGAAAGCAAACAAUGACAUACACAAAGCACAGACGGAGCAGUUAGAGACAAUCAACAUCCUCACAUUGGAAAAGGCAGACUUGAAGACCACCCUUUACCAUACUAAACGUGCCGCCAGACACUUCGAAGGUGAGAACGUGGGCACCCCAUCAUCC
rnacentral:lncRNA from 10 species